UGCGCAGGCGGUUAUGUAAGUCAGAUGUGAAAUCCCCGGGCUUAACCUGGGAAUGGCAUUUGAGACUGCAUGGCUAGAGUGUGUCAGAGGGGGGUAGAAUUCCACGUGUAGCAGUGAAAUGCGUAGAGAUGUGGAGGAAUACCGAUGGCGAAGGCAGCCCCCUGGGAUAACACUGACGCUCAUGCGCGAAAGCGUGGGGAGCAAACAGGAUUAGAUACCCUGGUAGUCCACGCCCUAAACGAUGUCUACUAGUUGUCGGGACUUAAUUGUCUUGGUAACGCAGCUAACGCGUGAAGUAGACCGCCUGGGGAGUACGGUCGCAAGAUUAAA
rnacentral:rRNA from 1 species